UCCCUAUCAGGACCACACCAGGAGAGUUCCCAGUACUCUACCAGUCUCGGCUAUAGGAGGGAGAGUCAAGCAGAGGCCUGUCCAUUCCAUUCCUAGCAUGGGCAGUAGCUAGUGAGUGGAAGGCAAUCUGCUACGAGU